GACGAACGCUGGCGGCGUGCCUAAUACAUGCAAGUUGAGCGAUGAAGAUUGGUGCUUGCACCAAUUUGAAGAGCAGCGAACGGGUGAGUAACGCGUGGGGAAUCUGCCUUUGAGCGGGGGACAACAUUUGGAAACGAAUGCUAAUACCGCAUAACAACUUUAAACAUAAGUUUUAAGUUUGAAAGAUGCAAUUGCAUCACUCAAAGAUGAUCCCGCGUUGUAUUAGCUAGUUGGCGAGGUAAAGGCUCACCAAGGCGAUGAUACAUAGCCGACCUGAGAGGGUGAUCGGCCACAUUGGGACUGAGACACGGCCCAAACGCCUACGGGAGGCAGCAGUAGGGAAUCUUCGGCAAUGGACGAAAGUCUGACCGAGCAACGCCGCGUGAGUGAAGAAGGUUUUCGGAUCGUAAAACUCUGUUGGUAGAGAAGAACGUUGGUGAGAGUGGAAAGCUCAUCAAGUGACGGUAACUACCCAGAAAGGGACGGCUAACUACGUG
rnacentral:rRNA from 1 species